UUGAGUUGGUUGAUGAGUUCAGUGGUUUUGAGAAGCCUAAUGAGAAUGGAGAAUAUCUUUUCUCUUCUUAGGAUUUGGACUAUGUCAAUGGAGGGUGCUUUUGGGAUGGUGGGUGUGGAGGCACCACUUGGUGUCACGGGGACUAAGGGUACUGUGUUGAAUCCUGGGGCAGGAGCAGUGGCUGGUGGAGAGAGUGGUGUGAAUGCUGGUUAUUGUGGUUGUUGUUG
rnacentral:lncRNA from 1 species